GACGAACGCUGGCGGCGUGCUUAACACAUGCAAGUCGAACGGAAAGGCCCUGCUUUUGUGGGGUGCUCGAGUGGCGAACGGGUGAGUAACACGUGAGUAACCUGCCCUUGACUUUGGGAUAACUUCAGGAAACUGGGGCUAAUACCGGAUAGGAGCUCCUGCUGCAUGGUGGGGGUUGGAAAGUUUCGGCGGUUGGGGAUGGACUCGCGGCUUAUCAGCUUGUUGGUGGGGUAGUGGCUUACCAAGGCUUUGACGGGUAGCCGGCCUGAGAGGGUGACCGGCCACAUUGGGACUGAGAUAAGGCCCAGACUCCUACGGGGGGCAGCAGUGGGGAAUAUUGCACAAUGGGCGGAAGCCUGAUGCAGCAACGCCGCGUGCGGGAUGACGGCCUUCGGGUUGUAACCCGCUUUCGCCUGUGACGAAGCGUGAGUGACGGUAAUGGGUAAAGAAGCACCGGCUAACUACGUG
rnacentral:rRNA from 1 species